rnacentral:rRNA from 1 species
AUUCCAGCUCCAAUAGCGUAUAUUAAAGUUGUUGCAGUUAAAACGCUCGUAGUUGAACUUCUGGCUAUUCUUCCAGCUGGCUUCGGUCGCUGUAAGAGUGGUCAUCCGCUUGGGAACUACGUUCGAACUUCACUGUUCGGCGUAAGGAACAGGCAUUUUACUUAGAAAAAAUUAGAGUGUUCAAGGCAGGCUAUCGCCCUGAAUACACAAGCUUGGAAUAAUGAAAUAGGACUAUUUCCAUUUUAUUGGUUAUUGGAAUUAGUAAUGAUUAAUAGGGACAGUUGGGGACAUUAGUAUUUAAUUGUCAGAGGUGAAAUUCUUGGAUUUAUUAAAGACUAACUUAUGCGAAAGCAUUUGUCAAGGAUGUUUUCAUCG